rnacentral:rRNA from 1 species
AAUCAACGCUGGCGGCGUGCCUCAGACAUGCAAGUCGAACGAUUAAACUUUCCUUCGGGAAAGAUAUAAAGUGGCGCACGGGUGAGUAACACGUAGGUAAUGUACCUUUGGGUGGGGAAGUAACUUAGGGAAACGUUAAAGCUAAUACCGCAUAAUGCAGCGGCUCCUUCGGGAGACAGUUGUUAAAGAAUUUAUUCGCCUAAAGAGCAGCCUGCGGCAGAUUAGCUAGUUGGUAAGGUAACGGCUUACCAAGGCGACGAUCUGUAUCCGACCU